CACUUAAUCCCAGAAAGACAAUAAGGCUGCUACAAGUGCAGGUGUGUUCAUGGUCUGAAGAAAUUUGGCUAGAUGCACCGGUAAUCUUGGAGAGCUCCAUUCAACUCAUCACUGACCAUUGAGGAGUGGAGAAUAAGAUGCUGAAUGCAGCUGAUGAUUAUUUGAGAGGUGAUUCAGGCCAUUUCUGGUGAGGUGAUAGGCUGCUGUUAAAAGGGCAGUGUUUGGCGCUGCUGCUGGAGAAGACAAGAAAAAUGAAUGACAGGAUUACAUACGGUUAUCCUGUUUGUUAGCACUUGCUUGGGUCCCAUCAAGUAUCCUGGCUUUAGCUCCUCUGGAAGGGUCACCAGGAGGACUGCAGUCUCUGUUCUUGCUUUGAAGUCCCUCCUGGGAGGAAGCAGGCUAUUUUAGUGCUUACUCCUGUCCAUCAUACAGGUGAUGGUAAAAGACAGAAGCAUAUGAAAAUGGCUAUGCUGGAUCAGACUAAAGGUCUCUUUGGCCUGGCAGCCUAGCUCUGAAAAACACCAAGGGAGGCGUCCAAAGCCAGUGAAGGUCACGCAGAGAUAUUUCCGUCUUCUCUCUCCUCCCACCCAACCUCCAGUGAUAUGGGAUUUCCUGAGCAUGAGGGUACUGUCAAGUGGAAAACAGCAGAAAAAAGAUGAAACAAACGAUUCUGAUUCUGUCAUGGAGUUAGUACGCUUGCGCCACUGUGACCAUGAAUUUAGGAUCAACCCUGAUUGUGAUGCUAAGAUCUUCAUGCAACCUGUUCCUAACAAAAUUACUAAAUUUCGUUCCUUGUGGGAAUUUGAUAGGUCAUGUUUGUUCAAUGAUUGUCCCUUGCCUCACCCAUUCUGGAAUAAAAUGAAAAAUCUUCCCUGUGAUAGCAUUUGUAGUUUGUAGUUUGAAUUGAUAGGAUAACAGAGUGACAGAAGGGUGAAAGGUAAAAUGGUCAGGACUAGAAAGGAGAAAGGUCAAAUAAAAACAAUGCAAUCAUUUGUGUAAUUCA
rnacentral:lncRNA from 1 species